rnacentral:rRNA from 1 species
AACGAACGUUAGCGGCGCGCCUAACACAUGCAAGUCGAACGCGACAGGGGCAACUCUGUUGAGUGGCGCACGGGUGAGUAACACGUAGGUAAUCUCCCCCCGAGUGGUGGAUAACCUUCCGAAAGGAGGGCUAAUACAGCAUAAGACCACGGCUUCGAAAGGAGCUGAGGUCAAAGCGGAGGAUCGCAAGACUCUGCGCUUGGGGAUGAGCCUGCGGCCCAUCAGGUAGUUGGCGGGGUAACAGCCCACCAAGCCUAAGACGGGUAGCUGGUCUGAGAGGAUGAUCAGCCACACUGGAACUGAGACACGGUCCAGACUCCUACGGGAGGCAGCAGUGGGGAAUCUUGCGCAAUGGACGAAAGUCUGACGCAGCGACGCCGCGUGGGUGAUGAAGGCCUUCGGGUUGUAAAGCCCUGUGGGGAGGGACGAAUAAGUUUCAGCUAAUACCUGAAGCGAUGACGGUACCUCCUUAGCAAGCACCGGCUAACUCUGUGCCAGCCGCCGCCGCAA